rnacentral:lncRNA from 10 species
CUGUGGGGAAUGAAGGAAAGGGCUUUUGUCACACUGGGCUGAGUGGCCAGAAAAGGGUAAAACCAGAAUGGUGGCUGUCACUUGUGAGAGAUGCCAAAUUAUAAUCUGGGCAUUUAACUGAAAAGUGGCUAUUCUGUGCUAACAUGCUGGUUAUAGGGCCAUCACCUUCCCAGUCACCCAGCCUAAAUUUCAUGACACACAUUUU